rnacentral:rRNA from 1 species
UACGGAGGGUGCAAACGUUGCUCGGAAUCAUUGGGCGUAAAGCGCACGUAGGCGGUUUGGCAAGUCGGGUGUGAAAUCCCUCGGCUUAACCGAGGAAGUGCAUUCGAAACUACCAAGCUUGAAUACUCAAGAAGGUCUCGGAAUUCCCGGUGUAGAGGUGAAAUUCGUAGAUAUCGGGAGGAACACCAGUGGCGAAGGCGGAGACCUGGGGAGAUAUUGACGCUGAGGUGCGAAAGCGUGGGGAGCAAACAGG